UACGAAGGGGGCUAGCGUUGCUCGGAAUCACUGGGCGUAAAGGGCGCGUAGGCGGCCAUUCAAGUCGGGGGUGAAAGCCUGUGGCUCAACCACAGGAUUGCCUUCGAUACUGUUUGGCUUGAGUAUGGUAGAGGUUGGUGGAACUGCGAGUGUAGAGGUGAAAUUCGUAGAUAUUCGCAAGAACACCGGUGGCGAAGGCGGCCAACUGGACCAUUACUGACGCUGAGGCGCGAAAGCGUGGGGAGCAAACAGG
rnacentral:rRNA from 1 species